AGCUAAUAGAUACCCGGGUAGUCCACGCCCUAAACGAUGUCUACUAGUUGUUGGUGGAGUAAAAUCCAUGAGUAAACGCAGCUAAACGCGUGAAGUAGACCGCCUGGGGAGUACGGUCGCAAGAUUAAAACUCAAAGGAAUUGACGGGGGCCCGCACAAGCGGUGGAUUAUGUGGAUUAAAUUCGAUGCAACGCGAAAAACCUUACCUGGCCUUGACAUGCCACUAACGAAGCAGAGAUGCAUUAGGUGCCCGUAAGGGAAAGUGGACACAGGUGCUGCAUGGCUGUCGUCAGCUCGUGCCGUGAGAUGUUGGGUUAAGUCCCGCAACGAGCGCAACCCUUGCCAUUAAUUGCCAUCAUUUAGUUGGGCACUUUAAUGGGACUGCCGGUGACAAACCGGAGGAAGGUGGGGAUGACGUCAAGUCCUCAUGGCCCUUAUGGCCAGGGCUUCACACGUAAUACAAUGGUCGGUACAGAGAGUUGCCAACCCGCAGGGGGUAGCUAAUCUCAGAAAGCCGAUCGUAGUCCGGAUUGUUCUCUGC
rnacentral:rRNA from 1 species